rnacentral:rRNA from 1 species
UACGAAGGGUGCAAACGUUGCUCGGAAUUAUUGGGCGUAAAGCGCACGUAGGCGGCAUUGCAAGUCGGGUGUGAAAUCCCUCGGCUUAACCAAGGAAGUGCAUCCGAAACUGCAGUGCUUGAGUACUUAAGAGGAUCGCGGAAUUCCCGGUGUAGAGGUGAAAUUCGUAGAUAUCGGGAGGAACACCAGUGGCGAAGGCGGCUCACUGGCCCGGUACUGACGCUGAGGUGCGAAAGCGUGGGGAGCAAACAGG